ACUAAUUAAGUCAGCAGCCCUGAUCCAGGAGCUCUCUCUCUGGGAGUCUGGGCAGUCUGUUCGAGAAGCUGCAAGCCUAGGAGCUCUGAGAACGGUUAGCUUCUCCACCUAACUACUGAACUCAGACCAAGACCCGGUGGAACAGUUGCCGGGAUCAAUUCCGCCGGGAGCUGAACGAGCGAGGACGCAGUGGGGAUGGUGGAGCCCGCAAAAGGCCAUAUAUAUACACGGCCCAAUUAGAAUUUCUAAAACCGGUCAUGGAUUUGAGGCCUACUGUCGACAGUUUGGAUGAUCCUGAGGAGUCAGAUCUGGGUGGGAGCGAAACUCCAGCUGGUUUCUCCUCAGAAAGUAGCCCCACUCAUACCCAGGCUGAGGAGACAGAGCAUCCGACCUUUGCGCCGCCAACCCUUUCCCAGCGGAGCACGGAAAGGACCCAGCAGCCUCAGCCAAGG